rnacentral:rRNA from 1 species
AAUGAACGCUGGCGGCGCGCCUAAUACAUGCAAGUCGAGCGAGAAGACGUAGCAAUACGUUUGUAAAGCGGCGAACGGGUGAGGAAUACAUGGGUAACCUACCCUAGAGUGGGGAAUAACUAGCCGAAAGGUUAGCUAAUACCGCGUACGCUCCUUGGACUUCGGUUCAGGGAGGAAAGCGAUGCCGAGGGUAUCGCGCUCUUGGAUGGGCUCAUGUCCUAUCAGCUUGUUGGGAGGUAACGGCUCACCAAGGCUUCGACGGGUAGCUGGUCUGAGAGGACGAUCAGCCACACUGGCACUGCGACACGGGCCAGACUCCUACGGGAGGCAGCAGUAAGGAAUAUUGCGCAAUGGGACGAAAGCCUGACGCAGCGACGCCGC